rnacentral:misc_RNA from 1 species
GUCGACGCUAGGCAAUCUGUAGAAGACAAAAGAAAUGUUGGUCGAGACAACUAAAAAAUUCUAGAAUUUUAUGCUCGUGAUCUAAGAUGAAAUAUACAUUUUCUUAUCUUAUAAUAUAACGGUAUUACGUUAUAUUUUCGUUUCUUAAAAAAUAAAUCUAAUUUUGCAUUUAGCAACGUAAUUCUGCUUUAUUCGUGAAAUAGUAAUGAACUUUACGCUUCAUGAACAUUAACUCUGUGAGUGUGUGCAUCCAAAAAUCUGGUUUAACCAAGACUAACGGUUUACUAGUUGGUUCCGCAAUUGGUGUAUUCCUUGCGAUGCACAAUAAUGGAACCUUGCGUCGCAUCGCACCGAGUUGCAGACAAGUACAUGGUUCAGCGACCCUGUGCAGAGAAACACGGUCUAGCUAACGUUACCGCUUCGUUCGCUUUGCACACCUUCUUUCUCCGAAACAAAAGCAUACGGGAUUUUCUACAACGACGUCCACAAGAAUUCGCGAUAUAUCGCUUUUAGAUUAAUCCGAUCGUUUAAUCAAUGAACUGUUAUUCUUACGGUAUCAUUCAAUCGUUAUUUUAUUGUGUAUAUAUAUAACAAAUCUUUUGGCUUUUGUAAUUUUAAUAUUAAUUUUAAUUCUGUAAGAACUAGUAAUGGUUCU